GUACCUCUGAAAAUAAGAUUAUUACUAUGAAUUCAUCAGUUAAGCUUCUUCUCUAUUCGAAUUGAAUCUGAGAAGACCCUGGAGCAACGACCUCUAUGUCUCCAUUCAAUUAUUAGGCUUGGGCAGGCCAAACCUGCAAAGUUCGGUGAAGAUUUCAAAGUACAGGUAGAUUACUUUGUGUUGCCUAUAGUCCUAUAACUAAUAUUGUUUCAUUAUAAAUGUCCUUUAUGUCUUGCUUCAGUUAUAAGGCUCGGGCAGGCCAAAUCUACAAAACUCGACGAA
rnacentral:lncRNA from 1 species